rnacentral:rRNA from 1 species
UACGGAGGGUGCAAGCGUUGUCCGGAUUUAUUGGGCUUAAAGGGUGCGUAGGCGGCCUUGUAAGUCAGUGGUGAAAGCCCAUCGCUCAACGAUGGAACUGCCAUUGAUACUGCAAGGCUUGAGUACAGACGAGGUUGGCGGAAUUGAUUGUGUAGCGGUGAAAUGUAUAGAUACAAUCAAGAACACCGAUUGCGUAGGCAGCUAACUAGGCUGUAACUGACGCUGAGGCACGAAAGCGUGGGGAGCGAACAGG